AUUGUUUUCUUUCUGGGUCUUGCAGCCUGAUCUCUGAAGUCACUAAGUACAUUUUGAACUUAACGUGGAAAAAAAAAAAAACUAUUCCAAGACCAUUCUCUCCCAAUUCCAGCAUACCUUAUGCUAGUGGGUACACCCAGACAGGCUGUUCUGUCAGGGGCAUUUUUCUAAUUGUGAUUUUGAUUGUCAUAGCAUUUACUCUGACUUCAUGGCACUCUGUUGGAACCUUCUCUCUACACAAAGUCACUGAAGGAUGGGGAAAUGGAGUUUCCUUUUCCCUCUAUGUGUUCCAGAAUGACAGCUCCCAUGGGUAGAGCAGGGGCACCCUCAUUGUUUCAGUUCACUUUAACUACCAGGUGAGUGGGAAGAUGAGCCUGUCGCACUGAACACAAGCAGGUAGGAAAAGCAAGCAGCUCUCUGAAGGAUAUUUGGAGCUAUUGCAAACCCUCUCCUCAUCUGCGCCUGCCGUGCACCAGCCCACUGUCUCGGCAAGGCUCCAGCUGGCGCUCGGAUCUCUCUCGCAAGCGCUGCGCACACCUCAGACGACGUGGCUUUGAUCACGACUUCAUGGCACUGAGUAUAAAGCCAUAACAACCCACACCUGCAGGAUCUCCUCUUCUUCCCACGUACGUCACCAGCCGCAGUCCCACUGAUGUCUAUGGGAGUAGGAUCAGAUGUCUGUGCUCCAGCUUCUCAGAGAAUGUGCCCAGCUUUGCAAACAGAUGUCUCGAACACCUUGGAGUAUGCCCAUUCUCACUCCUGGUCCUUCUUCUUUCCAACCAGUAAUUGUUCCAGCAUCCAAAGAGAUAAAAAGGCAUUAAAGACUACCUUUCCGCGCACAAUGACAUAUGUCUUGAGACCGCUGAUGGCAAGCCGGGACUGGAAGGGAACACCUGCUUCCUACAGGCCAGGCCCCCACUUCGACAAGUGCAUUGCGUCUUCCACACAGUGACGAACUUCUUAAAGAAAGUUAUAUUUGCUGAAGAUAAACUCUUUUUGCCAAGUAAGUCCAUUAAAAAGUGAACAGAACUCUCAUUGCAGUUCCCAGUGAGCUUCUGAAGAGCAUUACAUUUUUCCCCAAUGCUAGUGGGGACAUGGUGUUUUUUUUUUGGGGGGGGGGGAGUGCUGAUGCAGUCAGGUAGGUAGCCUAUGUCUGUGCCAGAGCACCUUUAAUCUGUGUUACCCCAGAUUUUGUGACAAAAUAUGAGAAUGUGGGGCACUGAGCUCCUGAAGUGUGGCUUGUCUUUGGGGCUGGAGCCUCAUAUCUCUGCAGACAUUUAGGGAGACAUAGAUCUGGUGCAAAUGGAAAUCAGAAGAAUAUAAUGCAUUGGAAAAGACUGGCUCUAAUACUGCCUAAGUUGUAGUGAUACCCCUGAGGGCUGUACAGGACACCUCCUAUGCAUCCAGUGCACCAAGGCAGUGGCAGCAUGGGCCUGACACAUUCUCUGCACUGGAAGAAAUAAGGUUCAGAAAGAUUUUGCCAGCAGAAGUAAGACUGGUUGGAAUAGACCCCUCUAUGCCCAAGGAAAGAGCUACCUCUGCUACAGACCAUAUUUAAUUUAAAUGUUGUUAGCAAUGUGUAUAUUACAUUUGUACACUAUAUCAUAGCAUGGUACUAUGAAUAAAUAUGAAGACAUAAACA
rnacentral:lncRNA from 1 species